AUUGAACGCUGGCGGCAGGCCUAACACAUGCAAGUCGAACGAGUGGCGGACGGGUGAGUAAUGUCUGGGAAACUGCCUGAUGGAGGGGGAUAACUACCGGAAACGGUAGCUAAUACCGCAUAACAUCAGACGUGCCCAGAUGGGAUUAGCUUGUUGGUGGGGUAACGGCUCACCAAGGCGACGAUCCCUAGCUGGUCUGAGAGGAUGACCAGCAACACUGGAACUGAGACACAGUCCAGACGCCUACAGGAGGCAGCAGUGGAGAAUAUUGCACAAUAGGCGCAAUCCUGGUGCAGCCAUGCCGCGUGUAUGAAGAAGGCCUUCGGGUUGUAAAGUACUUUCAGCGGGGAGGCGUUACCCGCAGAAGAGGCACCGGCUAACUCCGUGCCAGCAGCCGCGGUAAUAC
rnacentral:rRNA from 1 species